ensembl:misc_RNA Metazoa_SRP Metazoan signal recognition particle RNA
GCCCGGCGCGGUGGCGCGUGCCUGUAGUCCCAGCUACUAGGGAGGCUGAGGCUGGAGGAUCACUUGAGCCCAGGAGUUCUGGGCUGUAGCGCACUAUGCCGAUCGGGUGUCCGCACUUAGUUCGGCAUCAAUAUGGUGACCUCCCGGGAGCAGGGGACCACCAGGUCGCAUAAGGAGGAGUGAACCGGCCCAGGUCGGAAAUGGAGCAGGUCAAAAUUCGCGUGCUGAUCAGUAGUGGGAUCGUGCCUGUGAAUAGCCACGGCACUCCAGCCUGGGCAACACAGCCAGACCCUGUCUAUU